AUACGAAAGGUGCAAGCGUUGUUCGGAUUUACUGGGCGUAAAGAGAGUGUAGGUGGUUUAUUAAGUCGGAUGUGAAGUCCCGGGGCUCAACCUCGGAACUGCAUUCGAUACUGAUAGGCUAGAGUUUGGGAGGGGUAAGCGGAAUUCCGUGUGUAGCAGUGAAAUGCGUAGAUAUACGGAGGAACACCUGAGGCGAAGGCGGCUUACUGGACCAAUACUGACACUGAGACUCGAAAGCGUGGGUAGCAAACAGAAUUAGAAACCCUAGUAGUCC
rnacentral:rRNA from 1 species